ACUCAGGCAUCCCCUAGUACGGCGAGUGAGCGGGAGAGCUCAAAUUUGAAAUCUGGUGGCCUCAGGUCAUCCGAGUUGUAAUCUAUAGAAGUGUUUUCCGUGCUGGCUCAUGUACAAGUCCCUUGGAACAGGGCGUCAUAGAGGGUGAGAAUCCCGUCCUUGACAUGAACUACCAGUGCUCUGUGAUACAUUUUCAACGAGUCGAGUUGUUUGGGAAUGCAGCUCAAAAUGGGUGGUAAAUUCCAUCUAAAGCUAAAUAUUGGCGAGAGACCGAUAGCGAACAAGUACCGUGAGGGAAAGAUGAAAAGCACUUUGGAAAGAGAGUUAAACAGUAUGUGAAAUUGUUGAAAGGGAAACGAUUGAAGUCAGUCGUGCUCUUUGGAUUCAGCCGGUUCUGCCGGUGUACUUCCUUUGAGUGGGGUCAACAUCAGUUUUGAUCGCUGGAUAAAGGCUGGAGGAACGUAGUACCCUCGGGUAAACUUAUAGCCUCCUGUCACAUACAGUGGUUGGGACUGAGGAACGCAGCACGCCUUUAUGGCCGGGAUUCGUCCACGUACGUGCUUAGGAUGUUGACAUAAUGGCUUUAAACGACCCAUCUUGAACC
rnacentral:rRNA from 1 species